rnacentral:rRNA from 1 species
GACGAACGCUGGCGGCGUGCUUAACACAUGCAAGUCGAACGAAGAGCGAUGGAAGCUUGCUUCUAUCAAUCUUAGUGGCGAACGGGUGAGUAACGCGUAAUCAACCUGCCCUUCAGAGGGGGACAACAGUUGGAAACGACUGCUAAUACCGCAUACGAUCUAAUCUCGGCAUCGAGGAUAGAUGAAAGGUGGCCCCUACAUGUAAGCUAUCACUGAAGGAGGGGAUUGCGUCUGAUUAGCUAGUUGGAGGGGUAACGGCCCACCAAGGCGAUGAUCAGUAGCCGGUCUGAGAGGAUGAACGGCCACAUUGGGACUGAGACACGGCCCAGACUCCUACGGGAGGCAGCAGUGGGGAAUCUUCCGCAAUAGACGAAAGUCUGACGGAGCAACGCCGCGUGAGUGAUGACGGCCUUCGGGUUGUAAAGCUCUGUUAAUCGGGACGAAAGGCCUUCUUGCGAAUAGUGAGAAGGAUUGACGGUACCGGAAUAGAAAGCCACGGCUAACUACGUG